UAUAUAUAUAUCAAGUAUCUUUCAUUUUACACCUAUCGCCUGCUCCCCGCUACCACCGCAACGCUUUAGAUCAUGUUAGUAAACCAACAUGUAUUGCCUUCCUAUUUAAGUCACAAUUUAAAUGCGAUUGUCAUUUUGAAAAUACACGAAUAUUUCAUAGAAUUAUACAAUAAGACCUACUGCUGAAUUUCAUCAAGAUAGGUUAAGAAACACAAAAGUCAGGUGCGCACGUGUUAGCAGCAGCUACCGCAAAUUCCAAGAAUUUCUGUAUACAUGUGCGCGUCUGCUUCUAUCAACAGCAUUGCAAUUGCGAUUGUAUUGUUUUCUAUGCUGCUAUUUGAAUUCGUUUUUUUCUCACUGAGCCUUAAUUGUUGGUGUUGCUAUUGAGUAGAGGCGGCGGAAAGUAUCACCAUCAGUUACGAGUUCGAACCCUGCCCAGGAAACUAUUUUUUUUUUUUGGCUAGUGUGGCUGUUGCGUAGAGGUGGCAGCAAGUAAUGCGAGUUUGAACCCUGACUAGCUGGCUGCCCGACGUGGAGUACGUGGUGGACCUGAGGGCGUUAAUGCACCAUCCUGAGAAAGGAACUGAGCAGGAUGGACGAGAACGCGAGCCCACAAUAUAAAUUUCCAAUGCGAAGGAAUAAAACUGCAUGGUCAGAAGUAUCCUCUGGUCUCGCGACUUAAAGUUGGGUGCGGAAUAAGCGCAUAUCCGGGCGUCGGGCAGGCGCCAUGAACGAACGUAAUAAACAACCCAUUUCAGACGACCCUUCCGCUGGCAGUAAGGACGACGAUGCAACGAGGAGAGGCGGCCAAUAGGAUGAUCGGCCAGAAACUGGAAACACCCGUCAAGCGGCGUCGGAUAUGUUACUGAUGCGGUCAAGAGAGUGAGGGGCCGGAUCCCACGGCCAGGGUAAUCAUUCUCAUAACUCACUGAGACUCGUGCUAGCAGGCGAACGAGCCGUGGAGCUGAGCCCGGCCGCGGGAAUCCGCAACAAGGCUAGCGAGAGUGAAUGGUCUGAAAUAGGGAGUCUGGACGGCGAGGACGUCUGGCCAACAGGCCUGGAGUCUGGACGGCGAGAACUUCUAGCCAACAAGCAUGGAGCCUGAAUUGCAGGUGCUUCUGAAAGAGGAGUUGGCGAAAUUCGAGGGGCUUGAGGGCGGAUCCCAUAUAGCCAGCCAUCGGAUAGUAAUGAAGAACAACUAGGUACCCCACGUUGCAACGCGUCAUCGACGAAAAGGUGGAGGAACUGCUCCGGACGGGAUUCAUUGAGCAAUCCCGAAGCCCGCGAAGCGCGCCGAUCGUGCUAGUGAAAAAGAAGAUAGGGAAAUGACUACCGGAUGAUUACCCCUGCACUCAGAUAAACCACAUAUUAGACCGCCUACAACCAGCGCGUUUAAUCUCGAUAAUGGAUUUGAAGCAUGGAUACUGGCAAGUCGUGAUGCAGGAGAGUAGCGAGCAGUAUACAGCAUUUACGGUUCCAGGUCGGGUCUAUACCAAUGGAAAGUCAGCUUUCCGCAAGCUCUACUUUCCAGAGCGAAUAGAACCUUACACGUUUGCCUAUCUGGCCGACAUUAUCAAAAUAGGCGGGCGUGAGAGACUAAUUUGAGGCUAAAGCAGGAAAAGUGUCUAUUCUUUCAAAAGUAGAACUGCAUCAGCGUCUGGGAAUGGCAUCGUGGUAUCGGUGAUUCGUUUCAAAUUUUGCAUCAAGAGAAAGAAAAAUGUGAGAUCGCGCAACACAGAAUAGCAGGCAGUGUUGGUACAACUAAAGGAGCGCCGGAUCUCUGCCCCGACCCGUGCAUGUCCAGACUUUGACAUGAUGUUCGUAUUGUAUCGACUAUGGACUCGGCGCUGUCCUUACGCAGACGAUUCGAAGAAGAGGGACGUGUAUCUGCAUAAGCCAGUAAGAAACUCUCGAUGGCAGACAUCAACUAUUCGGCCUCGGAAAAGAAGUGCUUGACGAUAGUAUGGUCAAUUUGGAAGUUUAGAUGCUACCUGGGUGGUCGUCAUGGACCAUAUGGCGCCCAAGUGACUGAACUCGAUAGAGUCCGUCCGGAAGGAUCGCUCGAUGGUCCCCGGAGCUAUAGGAGUUCGAAUUCGGCGUACAAUACAGACGAGGGGUAAAAAUUACAUUAAAUUCAUUAAUAUGUAUGUGGUAUGUAAACCUAACGAUAUGUAGGCAACAGCAUAAAAAUUAACAGUUGUUAAUUAAUAA